GGCGAUGUCGCGUCACUUUGGUGUCUAAAAAGCUCGCUCGCAGGAGAACUUUGCUUUCUGGAAUCUUCUGUCCGUUUGUCGUUUCGAUUAGCAAAGAGAAGUAGUCGUAGAUAGCCUAAAACUUGAACAUAGGAAGAUCUGUACUAACGUGCGGAAAAACUUCUUUUGAUCAAGUUGACAGAGCACUGGAACAGUCUCAUCUGCUGUACAGUUCCCAGUGAAUACUGUAAUUAGUUGCAUUCUGCGUUGUACCAUUGCGCCAGUGAAGUGAGUCCCUGGGUGGCUCCCGAUGACUUGAGGUGUCCUGCAGGCAGCCAUCAACUUGAGUCCUGUAGAUGGCUCAGCACUGGAGCUGCACAGAGAAACUGUCACCAGUGAGCUGUCCGAGGGAAUUAGCAUUCUGCAGGUAGCAGUCAUAAAUCCUUCCAGUGACAUCAACAUUAUGAUUCUGCAGCAGUGGAUAUUAACCUUUUCCCUCAUGUUACAAUUUAAAGACGUUUCAGGCUUCUCCUCCCCACAGAAGUCAUAAAGCACUGGAAGUCAAUUACGAGGUCUUGAACCAGAUUCACCCCUGUGGGGUGUGAGAUUGACCAUAUUCUCAGCGCUGUUCUAGGCAGUGUGUGCAAGUGCCCUUCUCCUCAGCUGUGUGGCUUUGUGCUGAGAUUGCCGUAAGGCUCCUUGCCUGAUGCGUGCCAGCUGUGGCCGCACCUGGGGAUGUGGGCUCAGAUGUUCUCACUGCUGUCACGGGAUCCCCACCCUUACACGUUUUAUUUGUUCAGCCAGUUGGUGUCACUAUUGUUUUCCUUCCAGUCGAUUUUUUCCUCCUGUCUUAAAAAAAAUGAUAAAUUCUUUGCUGAAACCUAAGGCGCCCAACUCUGUUCUGCAGCAGGAAGGUUUCUAUUCUGGUAAAAAUUUCCUAUCUCAAAAAAUCUGAAUGACUUUCGUAUUCACAGUGGUCACCUGAAGUCAGUGCCUGUGCAGGGCGAGGGAGCCCGGAGAUGCAAUGCCAGUGCAAUACUGGUGAUCAGUAUGGGCAGAUAGCAGAGCGUUUGGUGAAUGUUUCUGCUUUUUAGGUACAAAUGUCACAAAGCUUUAUGUUUCUGGUAGAAAAUGACACAUUGCUCUCCUUGAGCGUAAUUAACUCUGAUUGUACAACAUCACAAUUUCUUGCUUUCGUGGCGGAACUGAAAUGCGGCAUGACAGGGUGUGGGCAUUUUUAUAAACCUGAAAUCAAUUUAUCUUGCUCUUCCCUCUGCCCUCCUCCUCCUCACAUACUAACAAUAACAGCAAUUAAAGAAGUCGUUAAGCUAUUGCAGGAUGCAUUCAGGUCUAAUGGGAAUGAGCUCCUCUCUAUUUGUGAAGAUGAGGUUCAUCAGCCCACUGGUGAUUAAAUUGUGUCAGUUAUAGUUUUCCGCUUGUCCUAAUUUUGCCCUAAAUUAAUCUGUUUGGACCACGGAUCAAAGCUGACUUUUAUCUGGCAAGUCCUUCUUAUUGCAGAAGUGCAAUGGGAGGAGAGAGGCAGAAGGUCCAGAGAGAGAACCUUUCCCUGACCAUCCCCUGGUGCAGCUCCAGGCUGUUCCCUACAGAGCAGAGCUCAGCAGUGCCCCUCUGCUCCCUGUGAGGAUCUGCAGGCCGCCAUGAGAAGGAAGUUCCAGACAAACAAGCAGAAGAACUUCUUCACAGUGAGGGUGACGGAGCACUGGAACAGGCUGCCCAGAGAGGUUGUGGAGUCUCCUUCUGUGGAGAUAUUUGAGACCCGUCUGGACACCACCUAUGUGAGCUAGUGUAGGGAACCUGCUUUAGCAAAGGGGUUGGACUUGAUGAUCUCUUGAGGUCCCUUCCAACCUCUGCAAUUCUAUGAUUCUGUGACGAGGAGCUGCAGGCCGCCAUGAGGAGCUGCAGCCGCCAUGAUGCACUGGGCCCAGCAAAUCCAGGGCCCUCAGCUGCCCCUCACAUCCCUUGCCCUCUGACCCUUCCCCAGCUUUGUAAUCCUCCUUUGGACACGAUAAUGGUUACACUAGCUUACUGUCCAGUAAGCUCUGGGGGAAUCUUUUCCCUUUCUUUCUGUCUCUUUAAAAAAAAAAAAAAUCGAAGCUCAUUGCAGUUCCGUCUAUAGGUAGAUUAAAAAAAAAAAAGGAGCAGAAUUUGAAUAUUAGACUUACUUUAGAAAUUUACUGAAUCAUUCUCUGGCUUUUUAAAAACUAGGAAAAAGUAUAGCAAGUAUUUCUGAAAAUUUAGUCCUUUAGAUGCUGCAGGACUGAAGGUUUCUAUUUCAGCAAGCGAUGACUGAUCGUGUCUCGAAGUUGCUUUAUUCUUUAGAAGAGUCUUUCACAACAAGGAGAAGGCCUUCUUUAUCACAGAUACAUACAACUUGCCUGCUGGUGUCCAUUCGGGUACUCAGAAUCAUCCCUUCUGGCAAAAUUAAGGCAUGAGCUCUUAUUUGAUUGAUACAGGUGCUGGCAGAUCAAAAUCUGGCGGUUUUCCUACUGAGAAGAGAGCUUCUUUUGUAAGAUAUCUUUCCUCAGGGUUUAUGAGCUAAACUGGGCAAACAACUUCCUCCUUUCACAACUAUGAAGAAUGUCAGAACAUGGCAACUUUAUGGUACACGCUCUCCUCUGAAAUUAUUGCUUUGAAAGCUCUGAAAUCUCAAUUUCACCUUCUCGUGUCCUCACUCAGCUUUCUUGCACAACAUUCCUUUAAAACAGAGGAGAAAAACAGUAGAAACAGAGAUGAAGAAAUAGAAACAUGCUGUUUUGUUCCGUUACCAGCCCCAAAACAGGAUGCAGGCAGGAAAGCUUUGCACAGGCAGUGCUGGCUGCCACCAGGUUUGGUCUAUUCUUAUCCUAUUUCACAGCAGAAUUUAACACCAUGGUGAAUGUUACUGAUCCUCCUAAGGAUAUCUUCAUGGCUGCCAGGUGUUAGUUAUGUUGUAAGCUACAGUUUGCUUUGCUAAAUGUUGCUGCUAUUUUAGAGCUUUCAUAGAGAGGAAGCUGCCAGCGACUGUCCUCUUACCACAACACCCCCAUGAGAGCUGGUGGCUGCAAGGUGAGGUGACAAGCCCUGUUGGUGCAGCUGUGGGAUAUCCAAAUCAUGGACUCAGUUUCUCAUUCUGGCAGGAGUUUAUGUGAGCAUGGGGGGUGUUUUGGGUUGCUCUAUACAUGUCUGCAGUUCUCUUAGGCAGAAUCAUAGAAUCAUUUAAGGUUGGAAACCACUAGGAAUUUUUACUCCAAACGUCAACCCAUCACCAUCAGGAGCAGUAGCCUAAUGCAUAAAAGCAAGUGUCUUUUGUACAUAUCCAAAUCAUGGACUCAGUUUCUCAUUCUGGCAGGAGUUUAUGUGAGCAUGGGGGGUGUUUUGGGUUGCUCUAUACAUGUCUGCAGUUCUCUUAGGCAGAAUCAUAGAAUCAUUUAAGGUUGGAAACCACUAGGAAUUUUUACUCCAAACGUCAACCCAUCACCAUCAGGAGCAGUAGCCUAAUGCAUAAAAGCAAGUGUCUUUUGGGUAAUUCCUUACUUUCUGCAUUAGUUCUCUCUGAAAUGAAUGCAUGAACACUUUCCUUGCUCUUGUUCAUUGACUGUCUUUGUAUGUUUACAGCCUUCAGUGCCACAGAACUCAGAGCUGACUCAUCACUGUGAUGACAGCGAACAUGUUUUGGAAUGAAAUAAUGAUGAUAGGACAAGCUCUUUCCUCCUUGUUUAUCCACUCUGGCUGUCAGAGCUAAGCCUCGUUUGAACUUGUCUGAACCAUUCUGGGCUGUGCACCACUCCUGAGGACACGGAGCCAUUUCUAAACAAAACAUGAAGGGACUGAUUUGAAUUUCCACAAGAUCUCUUGUCAACUCUUCCUACUGUUUCCUCAGCAAAAUGAACCAACCUUCACCGCGAUGUUUUCCCCUUGUGCUGUCAAACCUAAGCUGCAUAAACGAUACUUUUUUUUCCAAGGUCUUCUGUCUGAGCGACAUGUGGAAUGAUAAGGAUAUUGUUUCCUCCCUAAGUUCUCAUCUCAGUGUAUACUCUCUCCCCAAAUCAUUUGGGAUAUCUGUAGGAAAUCAUCAGAACAUCACAAAUAUGUUUAUUCUUUGAGACUAAGAAACGUAUUUAAAAAGAGUAGAAAAUAGGAGACGUGGAUGUACUUAAGUUGCGAAGAGAGAAGAGCUUUUUCCAAGUUUGGAUGUCACGGUCUAAGCAGGUGAACAAAUAGUUGAGUGAAAACCUGGUGGGAUGCUUGAGCUCUGAGGGUGGUGGUGCUUAAUAGGCUGUACUCCAGCAGGAGAACAGAUUGCCCGGAUGAUGUACAGUCUCCACCACUGAAGACUUUCAAGGCCUGACUGAUUAAUGCCCUAAAUAACCUGGUCUGACCUCGCAGCCCACCCUGCUUUCAUCAGGAGGCUGCACUGAACUCCUUUCCAAUGAGAGCUAGUCUCUGAUGCUGGCUGUGGGCUUUGGGGGCUGUGGAAAGCAGCAGCCAGCAGAGACAGCAGGCUGAGCUGCAUGCUGCCCUCCCAGCUGUGCAGGGUCUUCUGUCUCUGAGUGCAUGGGCAGAGGGGUGAGCCCAGCCAAUGCCCGAACCAGUGAAGCCCUGUGGAGAUAAGCUGCUGCCUGGGUGUUAAUUGAAACUAUUUGGCCCUUGCUUAGUCAGCAGUGAUUCAUUUAAUAGUAAAAGCUCUGAGGCAUUUAAUGGAAAAAGGUACCAAUAAAUAAAUGUGAGAGUGGAUGCCCAAUAAUGGUCGUCAGCAGUUGUUUCCACAGAGCCAGGUUUUGUGUUUCACUCAAUAGAUUCAUGCAGCACUUUCAUUUUCUGUAUUAAUGCAAAUAAAUGAUAACCCAGUCCAUGUGUAAUUCAGCUCAGUUCAUGUGAGCUACAUCCUUACUUUCCAUAAUGCAAAUGAGAAAAUUGCAGCUCUGCUGUUUGUUUGAUGCAAUAGCCUUGCUCAGAAGCCCACCUCAGGACAGCACAAUCUCCCUGUAAGUACUCUCUUCACAUGAGCUUUUCAAGGUCACUGACUGCCAGAGCAACUCUUCUGUGCAAUUUCCUACCAUUAAGUACAGGAGAAGCAAGUCAGCCUUGGUACUUUAUUUAUAGAUCCUGGAGAUGCACAGUUCUUGCAUUCUAUUAACCAGGGCAGAAAUGGGAUGAAUUUUUUAUCCAUUAUGGACCUUGUGCUGCAUAAAAUAUUGUGCAUUUUUUGUAGGAGGCUCUACUGUUUUAACCUUUGACAUGUAAUUAAUGAUUCAGCUGCCAGUGUUCUGCUGAUGUAUAAGGCUUGUGCAGUGCAUGUGUACUUCCCCACGUCGUAUUCAUUCAAUAUAUUAAAUUGACUUUGUUUGUAAUAA